GUGGAGCAGAGAGUGAAGGUAGGUGAAUAUGUGUGAACAAUGGUGAAGUUGAAUGAAAGGGAUGAAAUGGUGGAGAGUGAAAACAGAGUGGUGAAGGUCAAAAAUGGCGGAGCCUUCUGAAUUGGUGGUGUUUCUGAUUUUAUAGAAGUGGAGGAGAUUGAAUCUGAGGAUGAGGUGAAUUGAAUGCACAUGGGCGAUUGUUCGGAUGUCGGGAUAUAAUUGAGGGGUCUGUUUUGAAUCAUGCAUAAAGAGGAGGCUUUGAAGGCUAAGAUGAUGAAGCUUGUAGGAGCAGUAGGAAAAAUAAUGAUUUUUGUGUAAUCCUUAUUGUGAGAUGGAUUGGAUGGCGGUGUUUCGAUAUUAGCAUGAAACCUUGGAAUUGUAGAACAUGUACUCUUUGUUUUCUCUUGCCCUUUUUCCUUGUAUUUUGUAGGUGGUAAUGAAAUGACACCUUUUGUAAUCAAAAUAGAGCUUGCACGA